rnacentral:rRNA from 1 species
AUUUUGCGCAAUGGACGCAAGUCUGACGCAGCAACGCCGCGUGCGUGAUGACGCCUUUCGGGGUGUAAAGCGCUGUCGAGCGGGACGAAGGCGCGGGUGUGAAGAGCAUCCGUGGAUGACGGUACCGCUGGAGGAAGCCCCGGCUAACUCCGUGCCAGCAGCCGCGGUAAGACGGAGGGGGCAAGCGUUGUUCGGAAUUACUGGGCGUAAAGCGCGCGUAGGCGGUGGAUCAAGUGGGCAGUGAAAGCCCCCGGCUCACCCGGGGAAGGGCUGGCCAACUGAUCGACUAGAGUGCCGGAGGGGGAGGCGGAAUUCCUGGUGGAGCGGUGAAAUGCGUAGAGAUCAGGAAGAACGUCGGUGGCGAAGGCGGCCUCCUGGACGGACACUGACGCUGAGGUGCGACAGCGUGGGGAGCGAACGGGAUUAGAUACCCCCGUAGUC